UGUUGAAGACCCUCGCAAGCGCCACCGUCGGGGCCUUCAACCAAGGGGAAAUACCGGCCCGGAGGAGGACCACGAAAGGACAUGCCAAGGUAUGAGUUUACUAUUUUGCUUGGAAAGCAUUGGCCGAAGCCCAUUUACGCUUGGCCAAGCCUUGGCCAAGCCCCUCCAUGCUUGGCCUAGCCUUGGCCAAGCUCUUCUCCACUCGGCCAAGCUCACCCAUGACCGUGCCCAACCAAGGCCGCGCCCGUGCCCACGCUCGAGCGCGCCCAAGACAUGCCCAAGCAUGCCUCAGCCCACUGCUGGGCGCGCCCAGGCCAUGGCUGGGCGAGCCCAGGCCACAGCCN
rnacentral:lncRNA from 1 species